AUUCAGGUCUCUGCAAAAUAGUCUUAAUGGUAAAAAUUUCAAUUCCUUGGAUGACAUAAAAAGAUGCCUCGAUGCAUUCUUUGUCAUGAAACCACCUCAAUUCUGGGAAGAUGGUAUUUUCAAGUUUAAGUAAAGAUGGAGAAGCAUUGUGCAACAAAAUGGUUCAUAUUUGGUUGAUUGACAAUGGACAACACAUUACACUGUUGGAAAAGAAA